rnacentral:lncRNA from 1 species
CCUUUUCCAUUCAUAUCAAAGGCAUUAAUGGAAUAAGAGACAUCAAUAUCUCUGCACAUUCUAAAAGUUGGAUAUUAGAAUAAUGCCUCAAAAUGAAGAAAGAAAACAUUGGAUGAAGGAAUACAUAACAAUUACAGGAUAUAAAGGAAGUAAAAACACUUAGAAAAACAUUACAUAGAAGUAUCAUGGGGGAAAUGUGUGUCUGCAACCUUUUAUCAUGUCCAAAUAAAAUGCAGCCAU